rnacentral:rRNA from 1 species
AUGGCGCCGUGGACCGGCUUAUGGGGCGCUAGGGCCGGCGCCGGCGCCGGCGCCGGCGCCUACCGGGGCACGCCGGUGGUGGUCAAGAUGGAGAACCCCAACUGGUCCAUCUCCGAGAUCUCCCCGGAGGACGCCGAAGACGAGGACUUCCUCGUCUCCGGCGCCGGCGCCGCCCGCCGCAGCCGCAAGGGCGGCCGCGGGAAGAACGCCAAGCAGAUCACCUGGGUGCUGCUCCUCAAGGCGCACCGCGCCGCCGGCUGCCUCGCCUCGCUGGCCUCCGCGGCCGUCACCCUCGGCGCCGCCGCCAGGCGCCGCGUGGCCGACGGCCGCACCGAUGCCGACGCCGGCGCGCCCGGCUCGGCGGGCGAGAGCCCCGUGCUCCGCUCCCGCUUCUACGCCUUCAUUAGGGCCUUCCUCCUCCUCUCCCUGCUCCUCCUCGCGGUCGAGCUGGCCGCGCGCUUGCACGGCUGGGACCUCGCCGCCUCCGCUCUGGCCCUCCCCAUUAUCGGCGUCGAGUCGCUCUACGCCUCCUGGCUGCGCCUCCGCGCCGCCUACCUCGCGCCGCUCCUCCAGUUCCUCACCGACGCCUGCGUCGUGCUCUUCCUCAUCCAGAGCGCCGACCGCCUCAUCCAGUGCCUCGGCAGCUUCUACAUCACCGUGAAGCGCAUCAAGCCCACGCUCAAGUCCCCGGCGCUGCCGGACGCCGAGGACCCCGACGCCGGAUACUACCCCAUGGUGCUCGUCCAGAUACCAAUGUGCAACGAGAAAGAGGUGUAUCAGCAAUCAAUUGCGGCCGUCUGCAACCUCGAUUGGCCGAGGUCCAAUUUCUUGGUUCAGGUUUUAGAUGACUCCGACGACCCGACGACGCAGUCGCUCAUCAGAGAGGAGGUCGCGAAGUGGCAGCAGACCGGGGCCCGGAUUCUGUACCGGCACCGCGUGCUCAGGGAUGGGUACAAGGCCGGGAACCUCAAGUCCGCCAUGGCCUGCAGCUACGUGAAGGAUUAUGAAUUUGUUGCCAUCUUUGACGCUGACUUCCAACCAAACCCCGACUUUUUAAAGCGCACCGUGCCACAUUUCAAGGACAACGAUGAAUUGGGGCUGGUGCAAGCGAGAUGGUCGUUUGUGAACAAGGAUGAGAACUUAUUGACCCGGUUGCAGAACAUCAAUCUUUGCUUCCACUUUGAGGUGGAGCAGCAGGUGAAUGGAGUGUUCUUGAACUUCUUUGGGUUCAAUGGCACCGCCGGCGUUUGGAGGAUCAAGGCGCUGGAGGAGUCCGGCGGGUGGAUGGAACGGACAACAGUGGAGGAUAUGGACAUUGCGGUCCGGGCGCAUCUCCAUGGCUGGAAGUUUAUCUUCCUGAACGACGUCGAGUGCCAAUGCGAACUGCCAGAGUCAUACGAGGCUUACAGGAAGCAGCAACAUCGGUGGCAUUCCGGUCCAAUGCAGCUAUUUAGGUUAUGCAUACCGGAUAUCAUCAAGUCCAAGAUUUCGGUGUGGAAGAAAUUCAACCUGAUCUUCCUCUUCUUCCUGCUCCGGAAGCUCAUACUACCCUUCUACUCCUUCACGCUCUUCUGCAUCAUCCUCCCGAUGACGAUGUUUGUGCCGGAAGCCGAGCUCCCGGACUGGGUCGUGUGCUACAUCCCAGCCCUCAUGUCCCUGCUCAACAUCCUGCCGUCCCCAAAGUCGUUCCCUUUCAUCAUCCCGCACCUGCUCUUCGAGAACACCAUGUCGGUGACCAAGUUCAACGCCAUGAUCUCGGGCCUGUUCCAGCUGGGAAGCGCCUACGAGUGGGUGGUGACCAAGAAGUCGGGGCGGUCGUCGGAGGGCGACCUCAUCUCCCUGGCGGCGGCGGCGCCGCCCAGGGAGCUGCGGCACCACCCGAAGACCGGGUCGGCGCCGAGCCUGGAGGCGCUGAUGGUGCUCAAGGAGCAGCAGCCGAGCCCGAAGAAGGAAGGGAAGAAGCAGCAGAAGAAGCACAACCGGAUAUACAAGAAGGAGCUGGCGCUGUCGCUGCUCCUGCUCACGGCCGCCGCUCGCAGCCUGCUGACGAAGCAGGGUAUACACUUCUACUUCCUGCUGUUCCAGGGCAUCUCCUUCUUGUUAGUAGGCCUUGACCUCAUAGGCGAGCAGGUCGAAUGA